UCAAGUUAAAGCAUUUGUACCAGUCUUUCUUUGAGAAAUUGAAGAAUCCUCCUCAGCAUUAACUUGGGGUUUCUUUAAGUCCACCAUUACGGAAACAAUUGGAUUUUCUGCCAAGAAACAUUAAGGCUGAUUUGACAAGAAUGACGAGGCACUUUAAGAGUUGAUUGACUGGUGUGGCAACAUGAGAAAUCAAUGGAAAACAGAAUCUUUGAAGUUGACAGCAUCUCUGAUGAAAUCUUCAAGUGACAAGAUUUUCCUGGUUAUAUGAAGGAAGUACCUGGUCUUUUUAAAGUGUGAAGAUUCCCAGAAGUGUGGAAGACAAGAGUUGAAUUUAUGUAGUACAUAAAUGAGGCAUCGAUAUAUGAAAAAUCUUCUAAGAAGUAGCACACAAUUUUGAAUGCAAGUAAACCGAGCUUUCCUGAAUGGUGCAUGCAACUAACGAGCUCAAGCGCUAACAUUCAAGGGUUCUUUACCACCUGGUCCUGACACCAACUGGAAAAAAUACUUCUAAGAAGCCCAUUUACUCUACUAAAGAGGGAUAAGUAAGCCUGUAUCUGGGAACUGUUCAGAGGAGAAGAGACUUAAGGUAAUGGAAGCAGUGAGGAGCAGGGCAGGAUGUUGGAAUUCUUGACUGGAAGCUUCAGUAUCAAGCGGAUGAGAAGGACAGAGCAGUCAUCUCAUUCAUCUACUGAGAAAGGGAUGCCCUCCAAUUCACUGCAGCUCCUAAGAGGACAUUUGAGAUAUCCACUUUUCCA